UACAGAGGGGGCAAGCGUUGUUCGGAAUUACUGGGCGUAAAGGGCGCGUAGGCGGCCUGCUAAGUCGAACGUGAAAUCCCCGAGCUCAACUCGGGAACUGCGUCCGAUACUGGCAGGCUUGAAUCCGGGAGAGGGAUGCGGAAUUCCAGGUGUAGCGGUGAAAUGCGUAGAGAUCGGCAGGAACACCCAGGGGGAAACCAGUCGACUGGGCAUCUACUGACGCUGAGGUGCGAGAGCGUGGGGAGCGAACCGG
rnacentral:rRNA from 1 species